AUGGCGUCGCAGGUGAUCGGGGUGAACAGGGAGGGGGCGGAGGUGUACCACGGCGCGGCGCAGUGCGCAGAGAAGGCGGUGGAGCUGCUGGCCGAGACGAACAUGCCGCUGGGCCUGCUGCCGCUGGCGGACAUUGAGGAGGUCGGCUACAACCGCUCCACGGGCUUCGUGUGGCUGCGCCAAAAGAAGGCGCUCACGCACACCUUCAAGCAGAUCGGGAGGCUGGUCUCGUACGCCACCGAGGUGACGGCCUUUGUCGAGGACCGCAAGAUGAAGUGCAUCACGGGGGUCAAGAGCAAGGAGCUCCUCAUCUGGGUCACCGUCUGCGACAUGUACAUCGACAAGAACGACCACUCAAAGAUCACGUUCAAGACGCCCACCGGACUGGGAAGGACCUUCCCCGUCUCCGCCUACGGAAAGGAGGACGACAACAAGCACGACCUGGCCAAAUAA
rnacentral:rRNA from 1 species